rnacentral:tRNA from 1 species
GCGUUGCCCAAUUGGAAAAGGCAUGGAGCUUAAGUCUCCAUACAGUGCGGGUUCGACUCCUGCGCGGCGUA